rnacentral:rRNA from 1 species
AGUGAACGCUGGCGGUAGGGCUAACACAUGCAAGUCGAACGGCAGCACAGUAAGAGCUUGCUCUUACGGGUGGCGAGUGGCGGACGGGUGAGGAAUACAUCGGAAUCUACUUUUUCGUGGGGGAUAACGUAGGGAAACUUACGCUAAUACCGCAUACGACCUACGGGUGAAAGCAGGGGAUCUUCGGACCUUGCGCGAUUGAAUGAGCCGAUGUCGGAUUAGCUAGUUGGCGGGGUAAAGGCCCACCAAGGCGACGAUCCGUAGCUGGUCUGAGAGGAUGAUCAGCCACACUGGAACUGAGACACGGUCCAGACUCCUACGGGAGGCAGCAGUGGGGAAUAUUGGACAAUGGGCGCAAGCCUGAUCCAGCCAUACCGCGUGGGUGAAGAAGGCCUUCGGGUUGUAAAGCCCUUUUGUUGGGAAAGAAAAGCGGCAGGUUAAUACCCCGCUGUUCUGACGGUACCCAAAGAAUAAGCACCGGCUAACUUCGUG